rnacentral:sRNA from 1 species
UAUACUUCCAAGAAAAGCCUGAGAAAAU